AACGAACGCUGGCGGCAUGCCUAACACAUGCAAGUCGAACGAGACCUUCGGGUCUAGUUGCUCACGGGUGCGUAACGCGUGGGAACCUGCCCUUAGGUUCGGAAUAACUCCCCGAAAGGGGUGCUAAUACCGGAUAAUGUCUUCGGACCAAAGAUUUAUCGCCUUUGGAUGGGCCCGCGUUGGAUUAUCUAGUUGGUAGUGUAAAAGCCUACCAAGGCGACGAUACAUAGCUGGUCUGAGAGGAUGAUCAGCCACACUGGGACUGAGACACGGCCCAGACUCCUACGGGAGGCAGCAGUGGGGAAUAUUGGACAAUGGGCGAAAGCCUGAUCCAGCCAUGACGCGUGAGUGAUGAAGGCCUUAGGGUUGUAAAGCUCUUUUACCCGGGAUGAUAAUGACAGUACCGGGAGAAUAAGCUCCGGCUAACUCCGUG
rnacentral:rRNA from 1 species